rnacentral:tRNA from 1 species
UAGCUUAUCGAAAGCAUUUCACUUACACUGGAAAAAAGUCCGUUUAACCCGGUCUACUUUGA